rnacentral:rRNA from 1 species
AUUGAACGCUGGCGGCAGGCUUAACACAUGCAAGUCGAGCGAGCGGCGGACGGGUGAGUAAUGUCUGGGAAACUGCCUGAUGGAGGGGGAUAACUACUGGAAACGGUAGCUAAUACCGCAUACUAUCAGAUGUGCCCAGAUGGGUUUAGCUAGUCGGUGGGGUAAUGGCUCACCUAGGCGACGAUCCCUAACUGGUCUGAGAGGGUGACCGGCCACACUGGAACGGGGACACAGUCAAGACGCCUACGGGAGGCAGCAGUGGGAAAUAUUGCACAAUGGGCGCAAGCCUAAUGCAGCCAUGCAGCGUGUGUAAGGAGGGCCUUCGGGUGGUAAAGCACAUUCAGAGAGGAGGCGUUACUCGCAGAGGAAGCACCGGCUAACUCCGUGCCAGCAGCCGCGGUAAUAC